CCAGCGCCUCUGCCAACCCCGCCGGGCGCUCGGGACGCGGCGGGAAGAGAAAUUUUCCGCUGCGGACGAAGCUUUCGCUUUCCUGCGGAAAGAACGGAGCGGCCGCGGUUCCCGAGCGCCCGGGCCGGGAUGUGAGGGAGGCGGUGGCGCGGCCGUGACGCGGCGCGGCGCGGGGCGGGGCGGGCGCGGGUCGGUCCGGCCAUGCCGAAGCGCUCCUGCCCCUUCGGGGACGCGGCCCCGCUCCAGCUGAAGACCCGCGUGGGGCUGCGGGAGCUGAGCCGCGGCGUGCGGGGAGAGGAGUACCGGCGGGAGGUGUUCGAGAGGACCCGGCGGCUGCUCUUCAGGGGUGCCCAGGCGUACAUGGAGGGCGCGGCGGCCGCCGCCCGUGCGGCGGAGUCGGGGCCGGCCGGGGAGGCGCAGGGCGAGGGGCCCCGCUGGAGCGGGCAGCUCCUCAUCGGCCACGACGGGAAACUGCGGCGGCGGCCCACGGACAGGGUUCCGCCGCUGGGAGCAUCCAGAGCCUGCUCGUCGUGUGUGAGAACGGCCGAUGUGAAGGAGGCGUGUGCACAGUGUGACCGGCUCGUCUGCCAGAACUGCAGCAGGCUCUGCAGCUGCUGUAACACGGUUACCUGCUCUUUGUGCUCCACUGUUGACUGUGAUAUGCCUGUCUGGAAGGGACCACUCUGUGCUCUUACCGGGUGUUCCUGAUGUGAUACAGGAUUCAGAAUAUUCUCUUCGCUUCUUGGUCAUGUUAGGACACACUUUUGUGGGAUCAGAAUAGAAAUCAGUUGCUCCUUCUGUGCUUUCAGCGAAGAGAAUGAAAAAAACAAAAAAAAGAGCGCAAUUUAAAGAACGCAACCUACAAUGGAAUAACUUUAUUUGCAGCAGAGACAGAGUAAGACUGCUUUUAUGAAAAUUACAAAGAAACAUGAUACAACAAAAAUAGGGUGUGGGGAAUUUCCCACUAAGAUUAAAAAUGAAAAACAAAAAAAGAGUUCACUUUUUGAACACCAUUAUUAUUCAAACACGUAUGAAGUUUCAACCUAGUUUUUUUUAUACAUGGGAAACACUGUUAAACUGAAUCUUCAAGAGUGAGAAGGCACCAUGAACUGUUGGUUGAUACCUUUAAUGCACACUCAAGAAAGAAGAAAUGAUCUGGCAUGAUGCAAAAAUUCAUUAAGUGUUUAUAUAUAUUCAUAUAUCUUUUCGUAAAAAAAAAAAAAAGUGGCAACAAGUCAUUACUUCAGUGCCAAAUGUACUCGUGUCUGGCUGACUCGCUCAUGAGGAUGAUUUCUCACUUAGACCUGUGUGGUAUUUCUGUACAGUGGUGGAAGUGGGUGAUUUUGUGUUGUUGCCUUUCAUAUUAGAUUGGUAAAUCAAGCGUUUUCUAGGUUCUGAGAAGCCAAUCCUAUGAAGUAUUCCUAGAUUCUAUGCAAACGGAAUAAUUAAAUGCACUGUCUAGAAUGAAAUACUCAUCUGUACGGCGUGGCAAUCCCACCGGAUUCAGUUUGAUAUGUAAUGUCUUGUAGCAGAUGUUAUAACAAAAAUAACUUUUGCUUUUUGAUUUACCUCACUGAGGCCAUUAAUGCUGUUCCUAUAGUUGGUUUUCUGGAGUUGGAUGACACUUCACUGCUGUCCAAAAUGAGUUUGAACCUUAACCCUCCAGAGUUUGUUCACUUUGUUGCUUAUAUUAUUGCACUAGCUACUAAAGUCUUAUAUCUUCCUAUAUAAAUCUAAUUGAUCAGAGUGCAGAUUCUGUAUUUAGAUAAUGAACUGUAUGAAAUAAAUAAAAUAAGGGGGUUUUCUGGUCAGAGUUGCUGAUAUGUUGAAUACCUUAAUUAUUUCUAAAGUAAACAGUUUUGGUGUAUAUUCUUAAAAACCUAUGGUGAUUCAGCAUAAAAGCCUUGACAUAAUACUUAAAGAAUGGAUUUGUUCUC